rnacentral:rRNA from 1 species
UACGUAGGUGGCAAGCGUUGUCCGGAUUUACUGGGUGUAAAGGGCGUGUAGCCGGGCCGGCAAGUCAGAUGUGAAAUCCCAAGGCUCAACCUUGGAACUGCAUUUGAAACUGUUGGUCUUGAGUAUCGGAGAGGCAGGCGGAAUUCCUAGUGUAGCGGUGAAAUGCGUGGAUAUUAGGAGGAACACCAGUGGCGAAGGCGGCCUGCUGGACGACAACUGACGGUGAGGCGCGAAAGCGUGGGGAGCAAACAGG